CUAAUAACGCGUUCAUCACCCUUUCGUGAUUGAACUCAGUGUUCAAAAAUGUGACUUUGAAACCAUGGUGUACCAGGCAUUGCGCAAGCUCUAGCAGUGGAAUUACAUGGCCUUGUGCAGGAUAAGUGAUGUCUGAGGGAAAAUAAAUCCCGAAUACCUACAAGUGUACAACCACCCAAAAGUGGAGGUAUAAGAUAACCCGUUACAUUGCCAGAAAGAGUUGAGCACAAGAUCUCUAGAUUUAUCAUCGGUCUCGAUUACAACCUUUAACCGCAGGGCUACCCUGAGAAAUCAAGAGUUAGUUAAGAGGUAUUACCAUAACUGUCUAUAAUACCAUCAGCAAUCAGUUCUGGAAUGCUGAAUCCCAAAGCCCAUAGAGCAGCUGCAGCAGGGUAAAAGACCGCU